UACGGGGGGAGCAAGCGUUGUUCGGAUUUACUGGGCGUAAAGGGCGCGUAGGCGGUCAGCACAAGUCAGUUGUGAAAUCUCCGGGCUUAACUCGGAAAGGUCAACUGAUACUGUGCGACUAGAGUGCGGAAGGGGCAACUGGAAUUCUUGGUGUAGCGGCGAAAUGCGUAGAUAUUGGGAAGAACACCUGAGGCGAAGGCGGGUUGCUGGGCUGAUACUGACGCUGAGGCGCGAAAGCCAGGGGAGCGAACGGG
rnacentral:rRNA from 1 species